AUUGAACGCUGGCGGCAUGCUUUACACAUGCAAGUCGAACGGCAGCACGGGCUUCGGCCUGGUGGCGAGUGGCGAACGGGUGAGUAAUGCAUCGGAACGUACCGUGUAGUGGGGGAUAACGUAGCGAAAGUUACGCUAAUACCGCAUACGCCCUGAGGGGGAAAGUGGGGGACCGCAAGGCCUCACGCUAUAUGAGCGGCCGAUGUCGGAUUAGCUAGUUGGUAGGGUAAAGGCCUACCAAGGCGACGAUCCGUAGCGGGUCUGAGAGGAUGAUCCGCCACACUGGGACUGAGACACGGCCCAGACUCCUACGGGAGGCAGCAGUGGGGAAUUUUGGACAAUGGGCGCAAGCCUGAUCCAGCCAUGCCGCGUGAGUGAAGAAGGCCUUCGGGUUGUAAAGCUCUUUCAGACGGAAAGAAAUCUCCCGGGAUAAUACCUUGGGAGGAUGACGGUACCGUAAGAAGAAGCACCGGCUAACUACGUGCCAGCCGCCGCCGUAAGAC
rnacentral:rRNA from 1 species